AUGGCAACUGAAUCAUCCUUUCCUUUUCUCCAGACUAACUGCUCCAUUUGUUGUGUUGUGCAUUCAGGAUAUGAAGUGCAUGCUUUCAGGAAGUGUAUUCAGGAUAUACAACUUCUAGAUAUUGCCUCCUUUGACAAUUUAUUUUUUGGGCAAAGAGGGCAGGACCUUGUUAGGAAUGCCGUCCUAGUGGGCACAAGGUCGGACAUGAAGCUAUCGGGAACACCGAGUCAUCCCCUGUUAGCUUGGAGGAUGGUGCUAUGGGCGACCACGUUGGCAAUGGCAACACUGGAGGCAACAAUGAUGGUGAGAACAUGGUGGUAG
rnacentral:rRNA from 1 species